rnacentral:rRNA from 1 species
GUAACGCGUAUAGAACCUACCUUUUACAGGGGAAUAGCCUUUAGAAAUGAAGAUUAAUGCCCCAUAGUAUUGUAGACUGGCAUCAGUUUACAAUUAAAGAUUUAUCGGUAUAAGAUGAGCAUGCGUCCCAUUAGUUAGUUGGUAAGGUAACGGCUUACCAAGACAUCGAUAGGUAGGGGUCCUGAGAGGGAGAUCCCCCACACUGGUACUGAGACACGGACCAGACUCC